AUUGAACGCUGGCGGCAUGCUUUACACAUGCAAGUCGAACGGCAGCACGGGCUUCGGCCUGGUGGCGAGUGGCGAACGGGUGAGUAAUAUAUCGGAACGUACCCAGAAGUGGGGGAUAACGUAGCGAAAGUUACGCUAAUACCGCAUACGAUCUAUGGAUGAAAGCAGGGGACCGCAAGGCCUUGUGCUCCUGGAGCGGCCGAUAUCUGAUUAGCUAGUUGGUGAGGUAAAGGCUCACCAAGGCGACGAUCAGUAGCUGGUCUGAGAGGGCGACCAGCCACACUGGAACUGAGACACGGUCCAGACUCCUACGGGAGGCAGCAGUGGGGAAUUUUGGACAAUGGGCGCAAGCCUGAUCCAGCAAUGCCGCGUGAGUGAAGAAGGCCUUCGGGUUGUAAAGCUCUUUUGUCAGGGAAGAAACGGUAGAGGCUAAUAUCCUUUGCUAAUGACGGUACCUGAAGAAUAAGCACCGGCUAACUACGUG
rnacentral:rRNA from 1 species